AGAAUCGAGGAGAGUACAAGAGAUUUUUCCUUUUUCUUUUCUGAUUUUUUUCCAGGAGAAUGCGAAGGAAGACUGGAAGAGAUGGAUGAUGAAUCGAUGGUUUGGAAGCAGAUUCAAGAGCAAAUCCCAAUCAAAAGGGGACAUCGACAGGUUAAAGUCAGCUGGCAGAUGAAACUGAUCGAAAUAAGGAGCAUUACAGGAAUAUAUCUCGCCAAGCAAGCGGUAAA